AGUGAACGCUGGCGGCGUGCCUAAUACAUGCAAGUCGAACGGAGUGGCGCACGGGUGAGUAAUAUAUAGAUAAUCUGCCCCUUGCUGGAGGCCAACAGUUAGAACUGACUGCUAAUACUCCAUAGAAAGGGAUGAGACUAUAUCGUAUCAGCUAGUCGGUGGGGUAACGGCCUACCGAGGCUAUGACGCGUAACUGGUCUGCGAGGAUGAUCAGUCACAUGGGAACGGAGACACGGGCCAAACUCCUACGGGAGGCAGCAGUAGUGAGAAUUGCGCAAUGGGGGUAAGCCUGACGCAGCAACGCCUCGUGGAGGAUGACACUUUUCGGAGCGUAAACUCCUUUUGUUAGGGAAGCGGUACCUAACGAAUAAGCACCGGCUAACUCCGUGCCAGCCGCCGCGGUAAUUC
rnacentral:rRNA from 1 species